GGACAAGACUGCUUCCCCCUCGUCUUCUGCCAUGACUGAAGUUCCCUGAGGGCGCCCCAGAAGUUGAUGGUGCUCUGCUUCCUGUACAGACUGCAGAACUAAUGUUCUCCGUGAUCCAGCCACCCGCCUCACCCCCGAGCCUCGUGUUUCUCAGAGCCGCCUGUCGAUGGCUGCGUGGUGUCAGACAGCUGUCGUGUGUUCACCCUGAAGCAAGCAGCACUUCAUGAAAAACACAGAUCCUGGAUCUUCAACUGAAAAGCUAUAGGAUCAAUGAUCAGCAGAGCAGCAAGGAGCACCCAGCAUCUAUGAGGGCACCUCAGACUGUUUUGCACUAGAAGGGACCAGGGAGGUUCAGGUGAGCACGUGGGACACAGGAAGGACGCCAUGA
rnacentral:lncRNA from 13 species